AUACUUACCAGGUAGAGGAGAAUGCCAUGAUCCCAAUGAUAUUUUUCCUAAGGUGAGGCUUGUCCAUUGCUCUCUGGAUGUGUGAACCACCUUAUAUUAUGUGUCUCACCUUAAUAGAUCGUACUCAACACUAAGAGAUCUAAAAAUUUGAGGAUUAUGAAAUUAUAUUAUGCUAUGUAUAUAU
rnacentral:sRNA from 1 species